UACGAAGGGGGCUAGCGUUGCUCGGAAUCACUGGGCGUAAAGGGUGCGUAGGCGGGUCUUUAAGUCAGGGGUGAAAUCCUGGAGCUCAACUCCAGAACUGCCUUUGAUACUGAAGAUCUUGAGUUCGGGAGAGGUGAGUGGAACUGCGAGUGUAGAGGUGAAAUUCGUAGAUAUUCGCAAGAACACCAGUGGCGAAGGCGCUCACUGGCCCGAUACUGACGCUGAGGCACGAAAGCGUGGGGAGCAAACAGGG
rnacentral:rRNA from 1 species